rnacentral:rRNA from 1 species
CGCUGGCGGCAUGCCUUACACAUGCAAGUCGAACGGCAGCACGGGAGCAAUCCUGGUGGCGAGUGGCGAACGGGUGAGUAAUGUAUCGGAACGUGCCUUGUCGUGGGGGAUAACGUAGCGAAAGCUACGCUAAUACCGCAUACCAUCCAAGGAUGAAAGCGGGGGGAUCGCAAGACCUCGCGCGACAAGAGUGGCCGAUAUCAGAUUAGGUUGUUGGUGGGGUAAAGGCCUACCAAGCCGACGAUCUGUAGCUGGUCUGAGAGGACGACCAGCCACACUGGGACUGAGACACGGCCCAGACUCCUACGGGGAGGCAGCAGUGGGGAAUUUUGGACAAUGGGCGAAAGCCUGAUCCAGCAAUGCCGCGUGCAGGAUGAAGGCCUUCGGGUUGUAAAACUGCUUUUGUACAGAACGAAACAGUCUCUCCUAAUACGGGGGGCGAAUGACGGUACUGUAAGAAUAAGCACCGGCUAACUACGUGCCAGCAGCCGCGGUAAUACGUAGGGUGCAAGCGUUAAUC